AUCGUGUUGCAUCCAAUGAGGCUUACUCCGUGGUCAGUGUGCUUAAGACUUCAGCAGUUAACUGCUGAAAAGGGUUACAAUUUAAACUCUAUCUAGGGCCCACAGCAGGGUGACUUAGAAAAACAGAACUGUAGACCUGGAAGGGACCUCAAACGUCACUUGGAGGCAAAGGGGACAAGGUGGAAAAAGGAAUUUCAGAAGAUGCAUCUCUUUAUCCUGCCCUUUUGACACCUGAGAUAUAUAUUUUAGGACUCACCCAUCUGAUUCUCUUGCCUCUAGAUCUGCUAUUUUCUGUGCACAUACAUGGGCAAAUGUACUAAGAUGCUGUAAGGACUUCUUUGAAUGCUUGCACAAGAAUAAAAGGAAGGCAAAAUGGGCUGAUCAUAUAUCAGGGCCAUCAUCAUGACACAUACUCAGGAUUAGCGUUUAAAGGAAAGUUUUUGGCCAUCAGCCCUUCGUGGACAUGGAUACACACUUAAAUAUUAAUCUCUGUUUUCAAUAGCAAUGUGUGCUUGGCAGCUCUGGGAGUGUCAUAUUUGCAGAACAAAGACUUAAGCCUGGUGACAGAUGAGCGUACACCAUGCACUGAUCAAUUGUCAGCACCUCCAAGUAUAUUUAGGGAUAGUUAGCAAGCAGGAAACAAUAUCCUUGCAUUGUAAUUGCAUGUUGCACAUUUCUGGACCACAGCACUCUUGGGAAGGGAAGGCUUAUGUUGAACUAGGGACUCAUAAUUGGACCUACUUGCAGUAUCAGCAUCAAUAUUUCCCAUUAUCUGAAUCUCUGUACACUC